GGAUUGUGGCUCGGUGGUAGAGCACUCACCUAGCAUGGGCGGGACCCAGGUUCGAUCCUCAGCACCA
rnacentral:tRNA from 1 species